GACGAACGCUGGCGGCGUGCUUAACACAUGCAAGUCGAGCGGUAAGGCCCUUUCGGGGGUACACGAGCGGCGAACGGGUGAGUAACACGUGGGUGACCUGCCCUCAGCUCUGGGAUAAGCCUGGGAAACCGGGUCUAAUACCGGAUAUGACUCCAUGACGCAUGUUGUGGGGUGGAAAGCCUUGUGCGGCUGAGGAUGGGCCCGCGGCCUAUCAGCUUGUUGGUGGGGNGAUGGCCUACCAAGGCGACGACGGGUAGCCGGCCUGAGAGGGCGACCGGCCACACUGGGACUGAGACACGGCCCAGACUCCUACGGGAGGCAGCAGUGGGGAAUCUUGCGCAAUGGGCGAAAGCCUGACGCAGCGACACCGCGUGAGGGAUGACGGCCU
rnacentral:rRNA from 1 species